rnacentral:rRNA from 2 species
GGUAAAUCUGGAGCUAAUACAUGCAAUAAUGACUAUAUAGUUAUGCUAUAUAGUUGCAGUUAUUAGAUUAAAACCAAUGGGCUCUGCCCAUAUAUGUUAACUCUAGAUAAUGCGUUACCAUACAGAUUUAUUUCUGAUGGAAUGCCGUAUUUGUAUCUGCCCUAUCAACUAUAUAACCGUGUAUUGAACGGUUAUGGUGUUGCCGGGUAACGGAGAAUUAGGGUUCGUCUCCGGAGAGAAUGCCUUAAAAACGGCUUUCACAUCCAAGGAAGGCAGCAGGCGCGAAAAUUACCCACUCUCAGUGCGAGGAGGUAGUGACGUGAAAUGACAAGUUCCAUUCUUUAUAGGAUGGAACAUUGGAAUGGUUUAAUUUUAAAUCCAUUAAAGAUUAUCAAUGAGAGGGCAA